rnacentral:rRNA from 1 species
UACAGAGGGGGCAAGCGUUGUUCGGAAUUACUGGGCGUAAAGGGCGCGUAGGCGGCCUGUUAAGUCGAACGUGAAAUCCCUGGGCUCAACCCAGGAACUGCGUCCGAUACUGGCAGGCUUGAAUUCGGGGGAGGGAUGCGGAAUUCCUGGUGUAGCGGUGAAAUGCGCAGAUAUCAGGAGGAACACCGGUGGCGAAGGCGGGUCUCGUGGGCAGUGAACUGACGCUGAGGAGCGAAAGCGUGGGGAGCGAAGCAGG